rnacentral:rRNA from 1 species
AGAACGAACGCUGGCGGCAUGCCUAACACAUGCAAGUCGAACGAGACCUUCGGGUCUAGUGGCGCACGGGUGCGUAACGCGUGGGAAUCUGCCCUUGGGUUCGGGAUAACAGUUGGAAACGACUGCUAAUACCGGAUGAUGACUUCGGUCCAAAGAUUUAUCGCCCAGGGAUGAGCCCGCGUCGGAUUAGCUAGUUGGUGGGUAAAGCCUACCAAGGCAACGAUCCGAGCUGGUCUGAGAGGAUGAUCACGCCACACGUGGACUGGAACGACCACCGGCCCAGACCUCCGUACGGGGAGGCAGGACAGGGUAGGGAAUUACUUGGAACAAGUGGGACGAAAGUCCGUAGUAUCCAGAC